rnacentral:lncRNA from 1 species
UGUACCUGUCAUACUCAUAAGUAAGUGUGUGUGUGUGUGUGUUACAGCUCUGGUCUGUCGGCUUAUCUCGGCUCGUCUCAUGAUGGCAGUCGGCUCUGUGACUUCAGCAUCACACAGUACGCUUGUGCAGAGUUGACAGAUCUGAGCUCGCAGCACCUGGCGACGGUGUUGUCAUGCGGUCUCAACGGGAAUGAGAGCGUGUCCGAGGAGGCGUGGAAACUCUUCACGCAGAAGGUCAACCCUGUGCUGGGACCAGCGCUCGACCUGCUCGCCCACACGAGGUUGAAUAAGUCCCGCCCCACUGUGUCAUUCUUGAAUGUGAUUGGAGAAGUCACUCUGAGCUCCUUCAGCUCCACCAAUCUGAGAGAUGAUUCGUUCAUUCAGCGCUGGUUUGACUCCAGGCUCCGCCCAUUUUUACCCUACGCCUCCGAGACAUUCCUGUCCUGUCUGUCCACCAGAGACUUCAGCUGUGACACCUACAGGAGUGUGUGAGUUACACACACACACACACACACACGUCAUAUGUUGAUGCAUCUCUGAGAUUUGGUCUCUUUCACAGUGUCGAGAGCUUCAGUCAGAGUUUUGACAUCAUGUCCACCGAUACACAAGCUAAUGUCUACGUUGACUUCAUCAAAGUCUUCCUCUCUCAGAACAGCACUGCAGGGUGUGUGAACGUCUCUCAGAGCAGCUCUGAUUGGCUGAUCAGCAGCUUUGGACGUUUCUCUGUUUUCACCACAGUCACCGACCUGCAGACGUUCAACCCCAGCUUCAGUGUGUUGGACACUCUGAGUCUGUUGAGCCUGAGGCAGUUAGUGGAGGUUUCCAGCACUCCUGGAUUCCUGUCCAGUGCUGCUGCGGUUAAUAAUCUGCUGCUCUACGUGCCGGACGCUCAGUUCACAGCGUUCUUCUUAUCCCUCUCCGCUACGCUACAGAUGCAGGGCGUUGUUCUCCCAUCCCCCGUGCAGGAGGUGUUUCUGCAGCAGGUGUUUAACAGGGCCAAUCUGACCACGUCAUCAGACGCUGAUCUGCAAACCUGGAUCCUGAACAUACUGCCGUCCUUCAUAGCCAACAUCACCGUCCAACAUGUGACGUCCUACUUCAGCGUCGUCCUGCAGCGACCCUGUCCCAUCAGCCAGCAGGCGUAAUCUUCCAGGGUGCAGCUGUUGAACUUGUCCAGCUCCACCUUCCAGCCGGCGACACAAGAUCAGAUCUACCAGCUGAUCCUCGGCUCUCUCACAGGUGUCC